AUUGAACGCUGGCGGCACGCCUAACACAUGCAAGUCGAGCGGCAGCGAGACUAGUAGCAAUACUAGUUGUCGGCGAGCGGCGGACGGGUGAGUAACACGUAGGAAUCUGCCCUUAAGCGGGGGAUAACCAAGGGAAACUUUGGCUAAUACCGCAUAAUCUCGAGAGAGCAAAGCUGCCCGCAAGGGUGGCACUUGAGGAGGAGCCUGCGUCCGAUUAGCUAGUUGGUGGGGUAAUGGCCUACCAAGGCGAUGAUCGGUAACUGGUCUGAGAGGACGACCAGUCACACUGGGACUGAGACACGGCCCAGACUCCUACGGGAGGCAGCAGUGGGGAAUAUUGGACAAUGGGGGCAACCCUGAUCCAGCGAUGCCGCGUGAGUGAAGAAGGCCUUCGGGUCGUAAAGCUCUUUAGGUUGGGAAGAAGGGUAUUGGCUGAAUAAUCCAGUACUUUGACGGUACCGACAGAAUAAGCCCCGGCUAACUUCGUGCCAGCCGCCGCGGUAAAAC
rnacentral:rRNA from 1 species